rnacentral:tRNA from 1 species
CCUCCUUUAAAGAAACCGGAAUAAGGGGUGAAAGCGCCCUCACAAUCUGCCUAAUCGCCGUAAAGAUAGACCGCGGGUCUGUAGCUCAGUUGGUUAGAGCGCACCCCUGAUAAGGGUGAGGUCGGAAGUUCAAAUCUUCCCAGACCCACCACCUUCGCUCGUGUAGCGAGUCAAAAGGUAAAAAGGGGCCAUAGCUCAGAUGGGAGAGCACCUGCUUUGCAAGCAGGGGGUCGGCGGUUCGAUCCCGCCUGGCUCCACCAGGCGCUAAACCACGGCGGCAAUUUCCCGCCGUGGUUUAUCUCCUGGCCGAGGUGCCACGGGACGUUCUUUUACAAUUUAGGUAGUAGUGAUGUACGACGGUGAAGUCGGGACAGUGUUUGACGUUCCGACUUUACUGGGUAUGCCAGCAUUUAUUAUGGUAGUAGUUGUGGCCUCAUUAAGAGCAGUCUUUUUGGGGUUAUAUGAUCAAGCGACUAAGCGCGCACGGUGGAUGCA